AACGUUAAAGUUAACUCAAAUUUGUAUGGAGUUGGAACGUAUGCCUACGUUUGCCGCCAGGGGCGCUGUUCAACUGCAUACAAAAUUGAGUUAACUUUAACGUUAUCGA
rnacentral:pre_miRNA from 9 species